GUGGGGAAUUUUGGACAAUGGGCGCAAGCCUGAUCCAGCAAUGCCGCGUGCAGGAAGAAGGCCUUCGGGUUGUAAACUGCUUUUGUACGGAACGAAACGGUCCUGGUUAAUACCCGGGGCUAAUGACGGUACCGUAAGAAUAAGCACCGGCUAACUACGUGCCAGCAGCCGCGGUAAUACGUAGGGUGCAAGCGUUAAUCGGACUUACUGGGCGUAAAGCGUGCGCAGGCGGUGCUGUAAGACAGGCGUGAAAUCCCCGGGCUUAACCUGGGAAUUGCGCUUGUGACUGCAGUGCUGGAGUGCGGCAGAGGGGGAUGGAAUUCCGCGUGUAGCAGUGAAAUGCGUAGAUAUGCGGAGGAACACCGAUGGCGAAGGCAAUCCCCUGGGCCUGCACUGACGCUCAUGCACGAAAGCGUGGGGAGCAAACAGGAUUAGAAACCCUUGUAGUCC
rnacentral:rRNA from 1 species